rnacentral:lncRNA from 1 species
UUCUUUUCUUUCUUUAUGGCUUUUUUAGAUAUCAGUUUUUUUUUUAAAUGGGGACAAUAAUCACACCCUUAGCUGGACUCGAAAGUAACCAGUCUCUAACCCACACUCCAAGCCUCGGAAAGGUUGGGAAUACGGCGGACCUCUAGGGUCGCCCAACGUGUUUCGAUUGUAAUCAAACCCCACGACAUUUUUAAUAGAAAACUCAUUCGGACUCCUCCCGCCUGCUUUAGCCUUGUAACAAUCUAGACAAACUUGUUUGGGGUGGAUACAACAUACACACUACCGCGAUAUAGAACAAAAUAAUAGAAGGUGACA